AGCGGGAAUAGCUCAAAUUUGAAAGCUGGCAGCAAUGUCCGCGUUGUAAUCUAGAGAAGUGUUUUCCGUGCUGGACCAUAGAUAUGUUCCUUGGAAUAGGAUGUCAUAGAGGGUGAGAACCCCGUACAUGCUAUGGACGCCCAGUGCUUUGUGAUACACUUUCGAAGAGUCGAGUUGUUUGGGAAUGCAGCUCAAAAUGGGUGGUAAAUUCCAUCUAAAGCUAAAUAUUGGGGAGAGACCGAUAGCAAACAAGUACCGUGAGGGAAAGAUGAAAAGCACUUUGGAAAGAGAGUUAAACAGUACGUGAAAUUGUCAAAAGGGAAGCGCUUCAAGUCAGAUAUGGCUUUGAAUGUUCAGCCUUUAGGUGUAUUCAUUUUUUGUCAGGCCAGCAUCGAUUUUGAACGUCGGAUAAGGGUAGAAAGAACGUAGCAUACUCUCGGGUAUGUGUUAUAGCUUUUUACUGGAUACGACGAUCGGGAUCGAGGUUCGCAGCACACCCUUUUUUGGGCAGGUCUUCGGACACUUUUUGUGCUUAGGAUGCUGGCGUAAUGGCUUGAAGCGACCCG
rnacentral:rRNA from 1 species